GUUAGAUCACCGAAAUCAAGCAUCAUUGGGCGCGGUCAGUACUUGGGUGGGUGACCACCUGGGAACACCGCGUGCCGUU